GAUUGGUGCUUGCAUCAUGAUUUACAUUUGAGUGAGUGGCGAACUGGUGAGUAACACGUGGGAAACCUGCCCAGAAGCGGGGGAUAACACCUGGAAACAGAUGCUAAUACCGCAUAACAACUUGGACCGCAUGGUCCGAGUUUGAAAGAUGGCUUCGGCUAUCACUUUUGGAUGGUCCCGCGGCGUAUUAGCUAGAUGGUGAGGUAACGGCUCACCAUGGCAAUGAUACGUAGCCGACCUGAGAGGGUAAUCGGCCACAUUGGGACUGAGACACGGCCCAAACUCCUACGGGAGGCAGCAGUAGGGAAUCUUCCACAAUGGACGAAAGUCUGAUGGAGCAACGCCGCGUGAGUGAAGAAGGGUUUCGGCUCGUAAAACUCUGUUGUUAAAGAAGAACAUAUCUGAGAGUAACUGUUCAGGUAUUGACGGUAUUUAACCAGAAAGCCACGGCUAACUACGUGCCAGCAGCCGCGGUAAUACGUAGGUGGCAAGCGUUGUCCGGAUUUAUUGGGCGUAAAGCGAGCGCAGGCGGUUUUUUAAGUCUGAUGUGAAAGCCUUCGGCUCAACCGAAGAAGUGCAUCGGAAACUGGGAAACUUGAGUGCAGAAGAGGACAGUGGAACUCCAUGUGUAGCGGUGAAAUGCGUAGAUAUAUGGAAGAACACCAGUGGCGAAGGCGGCUGUCUGGUCUGUAACUGACGCUGAGGCUCGAAAGUAUGGGUAGCAAACAGGAUUAGAUACCCUGGUAGUCCAUACCGUAAACGAUGAAUGCUAAGUGUUGGAGGGUUUCCGCCCUUCAGUGCUGCAGCUAACGCAUUAAGCAUUCCGCCUGGGGGAGUACGGCCGCAAAGGCUGAAACUCAAAAGGAAUUGACGGGGGGCCCGCACAAGCGGGUGAACCAUGUGGGUUUAAUUCCAAAGCUACCCCGAAGAACCUUACCAAGGUCUUUGACAUACUAUUGCAAAUCUUAAAAGAUUAAGACGUUCCCUUUCGGGGGACAUG
rnacentral:rRNA from 2 species